UGGUGAGUUUUUGUGUGAUCUGUAACCACUGAGGGGUGGCUACCAAGACGUCAAGCUUCUGUUAACAGCUGCUAAUUCGGAGAGAAGUUCUCAAGUCUUGGUGAAGAGUGCAACCUCUGUUAGCAGCUGACUAACUAGGUUGCUGUAGUUUCCCAGCUGCUUUUGCUGCACCAUGAUCAGGUCCAUGUUUUGGUUUUCCAGAGUCAGCAAACGCAUGCAGCCCUGGAAGACGUUGAAGGGAUUUCUGCACUCAUGACUGGUGUCUUCAGCCGGACGACCUGAACAGAAGAGAAUCGGACAGAAUGAAGGGCACAAAUGAACUUAUGUCUAAUUAAUAAAAAUGCUCUCCAAGCAUGGACACUCAUGGCGUAAUGACCAAAUCAGAAAUCCCAUCACAUCACAGCCUGCUACACGAGCACCAAAAUUGUGAUCAGGCUUGUAAAUGAAGUCUUUUCCCCAGUGAAACAGCAGUUAGAAGA